rnacentral:rRNA from 1 species
GACGAACGCUGGCGGCGUGCCUAAUACAUGCAAGUAGAACGCUGAAGGAGGAGCUUGCUUCUCUGGAUGAGUUGCGAACGGGUGAGUAACGCGUAGGUAACCUGCCUGGUAGCGGGGGAUAACUAUUGGAAACGAUAGCUAAUACCGCAUAAUAGCAGUUGUUGCAUGACAACUGUUUGAAAGUUGCAAUUGCACCACUACCAGAUGGACCUGCGUUGUAUUAGCUAGUUGGUGGGGUAACGGCUCACCAAGGCGACGAUACAUAGCCGACCUGAGAGGGUGAUCGGCCACACUGGGAGUGAGACACGGCACAGACUCCUACGGGAGGCAGCAGUAGGGAAUCUUCGGCAAUGGACGGAAGUCUGACCGAGCAACGCCGAGUGAGUGAAGAAGGUUUUCGGAUCGUAAAGCUCUGUUGUAAGAGAAGAAAGAGUGUGAGAGUGGAAAGUUCACACUGUGACGGUAUCUUACCAGAAAGGGACGGCUAACUACGUG